UUAAAGCUAACACAUAUUCGUUAUUUGCUUUAGCUUAAUCCUAAGUGCAAAAGUUGUCAAAAUGCAAGUACUUUUAAGAGCUGUGCCCGGCUAUUGUCCAGGCAGACAAUUCUCGACGGUGGAUCGCGACAGGGCGCGUCAGCUUAUAAAGCAGCUAACCCGGGAGGCCGGAGAGCUGAUGAUGAAGGGGCAGGAGCAGAAGCCGGAGUUCAUAAUAAAGGCACAUCAGCGCGAUCUGGUGACACAGACGGACAAGGCUGUGGAGCGCCUGCUGGUCGGUGGUAUACGGAAACAGUUUCCAGAUCACGAGAUCAUUGCCGAGGAAGGCACUGAAGGCACCGCCAAGAACUGGGUCGUGAGCGAUGCGCCCACUUGGAUCAUAGAUCCCGUUGACGGGACAAUGAACUUUGUGCACGGGUUCCCACACUUCUGCACAUCGAUUGCCCUGUACGUGGAGCGGAGGGCCGUGCUCGGCUGGAUUGACAAUCCCAUGCUGAGGCACACAUAUGUCGCGCAGCAAGGAUCGGGAUUCUACUUCAAUGGAAACCCGAUGCGGGUCAGCGGACAGCGGGAUCUCAAGCAGUCGCUGGUCUGUCUCGACUGGACCGUGGCUCUGGGCGAAGAUGGCCAGGAUUCGGCCUCGCCCAAUAUAUUCAAGCUGCUGCCCAUGGUGCAUGGCGUACGCGCCCUCGGCUCAACGGCGCUCAAUCUGGCGCAGGUGGCUAUUGGUGCCUGCGAUGCCUACUUGCAGUUCGGUUCACACGUUUGGGAUUGGGCUGCAGGCGUGCUGAUGGUAGAGGAGGCGGGUGGUGUGGUCAUCGAUCCGUGCGGCGGCCCCUUUGAUAUAUAUUCGCGUCGCAUGCUGGCAACGGCAACGGCCGAGCUGGCCGAGCAAAUGGUGCCCCUGGUGCAGCAGCUGUUCCCCCAGCCACGUGACGACGAGCCAACAAAUCCAGGGAAACAAUCGAAGCCUUAAGCAUGCCUUGACUACGAUCAGCCAAUGCUAUGCCGUGUAUGGAGAAAUAAAUCAUUUUAAAUUUUCAAGUGAUUCAAGAUAGCCAAAUGCAAAGCAUAAUUAGGGGUUUCUUGACAAGCAGCCGUCGCCAGUGCCAGGCUCCGCCUGCAACGGCGACUGGCUCAUCUGUCCAGGCAGUGUCACAGGGACAAGAUGACAUAUGUCGUCAUGGCAUGGACAAAUGCCUCGAGCUGGCCUGUAAAGGCGUGCGACAGCAGAUGCAUGCCUUCCAGGCGAGGCACAGCCCCAAGAUGGCGGCAAACAAAUGGGACACGCUGAUUGAGGAUGUGCUGGUGCGGGACACCGCGAUGCAUUCGCCAAAUGAAUUCAUAGCCGAGAACAAGGCUGAUGAGUCCAUCUGGCCUGUAAAUGACAUCGAUGGCUCUGUUAAACUUUUCUCCGGCUGUCCCAAUGCUGCCAGUUCGUGGAAGAUGGGCUCUGCAAUGCUGACUGUGCCGCAGGCGAGUGGCAUAGUCAUGGAUACCCCAGUGAAUCCUUUACAUUUCAUUAGCCUCUGGCUGCUCCCAUCAAAACAGCGGGAUGAUGAGCUUGAAGGUGUACAAACAAAUGAACCAGUUGACCAGGACUCUGCUGGGAACGACAAGCUGCCCAGCGAGAGAGCUGCAGAGCAGUCGAUUGUGGCAAUAGCCAAAGCGAAGGACACAGGGAAAUCUAAAAAAUCAUCAGGAAAGACUUGUCCACAACAGCCGCGAGUUCGUAAACAGAAAAGAAAACUUGCAAGGCGGCCAGCCAGAAAACCUUGUGGUACACCCAAUAAGCGGGACGACUCGAUACCCGGUGAUCCGUGCAUGCCCGGCUAUAGUUUGUA
rnacentral:misc_RNA from 1 species